GAAUCUGGGUGGUCGGGUUCAAUUUCGAUGCAUCUAUUACAUAGAAUGUGGUAGGCCAUUACAAGGGGGUGCUUUGGAAUUUAACCAAAAGAACCCGUAAACCAACAUAAAAAGCACUUGAAUCCCUAAUGUGAUGAAGCAUCCAGACUGUCAAGUCCUGGACAUCUUGCAGCUUCAGACACACUACACAAUUGUGAUACUAU